GCAGACUCACUCUGCACCCAACUGCAGUCCGAGGUGGGUGUUUUCUCUGUUUGCCACAAAAACAAUCUGGGGUUCUAUGACUACCCUGACCUGUCAGGCGUGAUGCAGCUAUUCAGGCACACAGGA